rnacentral:rRNA from 1 species
UACAGAGGGUGCAAGCGUUGUUCGGAAUUAUUGGGCGUAAAGGGCGCGUAGGCGGUGCGGUAAGUCUUUUGUGAAAUCUCCGGGCUCAACUCGGAGUCUGCAGGAGAAACUGCCGUGCUGGAGUAUGGGAGAGGUGAGUGGAAUUCCUGGUGUAGCGGUGAAAUGCGCAGAUAUCAGGAGGAACACCAACAGCGAAGGCAGCACUCUGGGCCGGUACUGACGCUGAGGAGCAG